CACGUAGGGGGCAAGCGUUGUCCGGAUUUAUUGGGCGUAAAGCGCGUGUAGGCGGUUCGGUAAGUCCGCUGUGAAAGUCGAGGGCUCAACCCUCGAAAGCCGGUGGAUACUGUCGGGCUAGAGUGCGGAAGAGGCGAGUGGAAUUCCUGGUGUAGCGGUGAAAUGCGCAGAUAUCAGGAGGAACACCAAUUGCGAAGGCAGCUCGCUGGACGUUACUGACGCUGAGACGCGAAAGCGUGGAGCGAACAGG
rnacentral:rRNA from 1 species